AUGUGUGUGUGUGUGUGUGUGUGUGUGUAUGUGUGUAAGUGUGUGUGUGUGUAUGUGUGUGAGUGUUUGUGAGUGUGUAAGUAUGUGUGUGACAAACUUUGACAUGUUGACUACAAAUUCAUUAUUAUUAUAUAAUAUAAUGUAAAGUCACUACUGUAAAUACAGUGUACACUGUAAAACCUAACUGGAAUUCACUAAAUGAAAUAAGUUAAUUUUACUUAAAACUUUAAAAAAAAAAGUUAAUUCAACUUAACAAAUGUUGUGAUGUGAACUCAAAAACGUAUUAUAUUAAGUAGAACUCAAACUAAAUAAGUCACUAUGUUAUUUUAACUUUAAUGGUUUAAGUUACAGAAAUUAAUUUAAUCUAGUAGCUUACGUCGUCCAUAAAUAAAUAACUAAAAGCUAUCAAAUAAACACACAAACAAUAAUAAAUACAUUGAUCUGUUUCAUAUUAAGCCUACACACCUACAUUAAGCCUUUUUAAAGUAAUUACAUUUAUUCAUGUCAAAGUAUUACCCAAGUGCGUUUCUAGGCAACAAAAAAUCGCGCCGGCGCCAUUUUCCCUCCUUCAGUCGCAGCAGGAGGACGGGCUCACGCAACGGUCAAGAAAAAUAACAGUCGGACUCAGAUAACGCGACUUUUAUAUUUUGAGACGGUUGGCAGACCAUCUUCCACAUCUCUCGCGCGCGCGGCGCCGCAGAAACUACAGCAACAGAGCAAAGACGUUGAAAGGUGGUGUGAUAUCAACAUGGCUACAAUAAUAUAAGGCUGCAUUUUUUGGCUUUGAUGUCAUUCGAACUACGAUCUGGCGGGUCUUACUAUCUGUAAAGAAGAGUCUGCCGAUGUUUUUAAGACACAAGAAAAAGGAGCUUGACCAGGUGCAGAAGGCAACACUCACCAUCAUUGCUGUAGAGGAGGAAGAGGGAACUUUUUACCUUUUAACCCACUGGAUAUUUUGAUUGUCUUUGAAGAUGAGGUGAUGUCUGCCAAGUCCGUGCACUGCCUUUGGAGUACACUUAGUUCGUACAGAAAGUACUGUUGAAUUACCUUUCUUACAUAAAAAUUAUCUACUCUGUUUCUGGUGGUGUUAGAACAUAGUUAUUUUAUAUUAUUAAUUUAAUUUUACAAACUUUUACAGUUUUAAAAUUAAUUUUUAAACAAACAUAUUUCCUUGUUUGUGCGGUCUUAUACUUGGAGGGAAAAAAAUCUAAGACUGUUUUAAAGUUAUAUUUUUGACUUGACAGCCCAAUUAUUUUAUGCUUGAACAUUUUGUGAAUUAACUGUUGUUUUUCAAUAAAUACUUAAGAAUA